UCAAACCGGAGGAAGUGGGGAUGACGUCAAGUCCUCAUGGCCUUUAUGUCUAGGGCUACACACGUACUACAAUGGCCGGUACAAAGGGCAGCCACUCAGCGAUGAGGCGCUAAUCCCAUAAAGCCGGUCUCAGUCCGGAUCGCAGUCUGCAACUCGACUGCGUGAAGUUGGAAUCGCUAGUAAUCGUAGAUCAGCAUGCUACGGUGAAUACGUUCCCGGGCCUU
rnacentral:rRNA from 1 species